rnacentral:rRNA from 1 species
CUGGCGGCAUGCCUUACACAUGCAAGUCGAACGGCAGCACGGGAGCAAUCCUGGUGGCGAGUGGCGAACGGGUGAGUAAUAUAUCGGAACGUGCCCAGUCGUGGGGGAUAACGCAGCGAAAGCUGUGCUAAUACCGCAUACGAUCUCUGGAUGAAAGCGGGGGACUCGCAAGAGCCUCGCGCGAUUGGAGCGGCCGAUAUCAGAUUAGGUAGUUGGUGGGGUAAAGGCCCACCAAGCCGACGAUCUGUAGCUGGUCUGAGAGGACGACCAGCCACACUGGAACUGAGACACGGUCCAGACUCCUACGGGAGGCAGCAGUGGGGAAUUUUGGACAAUGGGCGCAAGCCUGAUCCAGCAAUGCCGCGUGCAGGAUGAAGGCCUUCGGGUUGUAAACUGCUUUUGUACGGAACGAAACGGUCCUUUCUAAUACAAGGGGCUAAUGACGGUACCGUAAGAAUAAGCACCGGCUAACUACGUGCCAGCAGCCGCGGUAAUACGUAGGGUGCGAGCGUUAAUCGGAAUUACUGGGCGUAAAGCGUGCGCAGGCGGUUAUAUAAGACAGAUGUGAAAUCCCCGGGCUCAACCUGGGACCUGCAUUUGUGACUGUAUAGCUAGAGUACGGUAGAGGGGGAUGGAAUUCCGCGUGUAGCAGUGAAAUGCGUAGAUAUGCGGAGGAACACCGAUGGCGAAGGCAAUCCCCUGGACCUGUACUGACGCUCAUGCACGAAAGCGUGGGGAGCAAACAGGAUUAGAUACCCUGGUAGUCCACGCCCUAAACGAUGUCAACUGGUUGUUGGGUCUUCACUGACUCAGUAACGAAGCUAACGCG